AGGAGCGUAGAGGCGGCGGCAAAAUGGCGGCGCCUGAGGAGCAGGAUCUAACUCAGGAGCAGACCGAGAAGCUGCUGCAGUUUCAGGAUCUGACUGGCAUAGAGUCCAUGGAGCAGUGUCGCCUUGCUUUGGAGCAGCAUAACUGGAACAUGGAGGCUGCUGUCCAGGACAGACUGAAUGAGCAGGAAGGUGUACCAAGUGUUUUCAAUCCACCGCCAGCUCGGCCCCUACAGGUUAAUACAGCUGACCACAGGAUCUACAGCUAUGUUGUCUCAAGACCACAACCAAGGGCAAGUUUUGUAGCUAGAAUAACCUCUUUUUAAUUUGGUUUUAUUAUCUGUGUGUGAUGGAGCAACAGAAAUGUUCACAGUAUCACCAUGUUAGCUGUGGGCCUUGGCAAGACUUAUGUGUUCAUCCAUUUCACUUGGCUUUGCAAUGCAUUGCUAUAGGAACUACUUUUCUGUUCUUUACUGAGGGAGUGGUUCCUGGGCCUCAUUUUGAGCAGCUUGCUUUUGAAAUGUCUACUGCAGGCUGAAUGGAGCUCUUCUGAGCAUGUCUGAGACCCACAUGCAUACAUGAGCCAUGGAAGCCUGAGAGGGCACUGCAUCCCUGGGAACUGGACAUAGGCUGCUGUGAGCAACGAUGAGGGUGCUGGCAACCAAACUUGGGUCCUUUGUAAGAGCAGCCAGUGCUCUUGACUGCUGAACCAUCUUUCCAGCCUCCCUCCCCCUCUUGUGUGUUUUUUGUUUUGUUUGGAGAAAUGAUCUUACUCUGUAGCCCAGAAUGACUGGCAACUCACGAUAGCCCAGGCUGGACUAGAGCUCACUGUGUAGGACAGACUGCCCCAAACCUUGGACAUUCCUCCUAUCUUUACAGGGCUGCUGAACUGCAUACCGUAGCUGGCAACCUCCCACCACUAAUUAAAAUCUGAUAUGUUCUUUGUGACCCAAGUUCCCUUGACUUGGUACUUUUUUUUUUUUUUUAAUAUUUAUUUAUUAUAUGUAAGUACACUGUAACUGUCUUCAGGCACUCCAGACGAGGGCAUCCAGUCUCAUUACAGAUGGUUGUGAGCCACCAUGUGGUUGCUGGGAUUUGAACUCAGGACCUUCAGAAGUGCUCUUAACCACUGAGCCAUCUCUCCAGCCCGACUUGGUACUUUUAAGGAGGUGCUUAGAAUUUGUGGGAGUUCUGAACCACUGUUUUGAGGUUGGUCCUGAAGACUGGUAGUGAAGAUGUGGUUCUAGAGUGGACUAGUUAACUGCUGCUGUGGUAUGCUGAGGUUAAGCGCCAUUUGUGCCUCAGUUUCUCCUUCCCUCGCCCUUUCCAUUCAUUUUCCUUCCCCUUCCCUUCCUUCUCUCCCUCCUUCCUUUUCUUCUCCCUCACUGCCUCCCCCUCCUUCAGAACCAUCUUCCAUUGCAUUUUAUUUAUUGUGUUUGCAUGGAGAUCGGAGGACAGCUUGAAAAGUCAGUUCUCUCCUACCAUGUGGGUCACAGGGAUCAGAUUCCAGUCAGCAGGCUUGGCAGCAGGAGCCUCUACCUGUUGAUCCACUUUGCAAGCCCCACUUGGUUUCUUUUUGAGGCAGAAUCUCACUGUGUAGCCCAGGCUGUCAUCAAACUCUGGACCUUUUCAUCUUAGUUUUCCUGUUGCAGUCUGAUUUCUCACGAUCUAGUUAAGGAAAUUAGAUACAUAGCUGAUUGUGAACUCCAAAGAACUUAAUGGUGCUUUUCUUUCUUAUCUUUGAGUGAUGGCAUUCACCUCUUACACAUGCUUUUAGAAUUGUUUUAAAGAAAAUUAAGCAUUUAUUCAAUCCUAGAGCAAUUACAGUGACUCCAUUAUCAUAUUUUUCAUGUCUGUAUAUGGAGUACUUAAUGUUUCAAGAAUUCCUUGAGAGCAGACAUAGUAGUACAUGUCUGUAGUCCUAGCCAUUGAGACACUGAGAUAGGAGAGAUUGCCUGGGCUCUGUUGUGAGACACCAUCUCAGGGAGGAAAAAGACGAGCUAUAGAAAUGGCUCAACAGUCGAGAGCACUGGCUGCUCCUGCAGAGGACCAGGGUUCAAUUCCCAGCAACCACAUGGCAGCUCACGACUGCCUGUAGCUCCAGUCUCACGGAUCCAGUGCCCUCUUCCAGCCUCCUCAAGCACCAGACACACACAUAGUACACAGACAUCAUGCUGGCAACACACUCAUACACAUAAAGUUAAAUUAAAAGCAAACAAACCAACAAAAAAGAGUGCUGAGGCAAGAGGAUCACAAGUUUGAGGCCAGCCUGGGCAACAUAGUACAGCUGGCACCCAGAUAAAUGUAGGACUUAAUUAUGCAUUUUCUUUUUCUUUUAUAUUUUUGGUUUUUUGAGACAGGGUUUCUCUGUAGCCCUGGCUGUCCUGGAACUCACUCUGUAGAUCAGGCUGGCCUCCAACUCAGAAAUCCGCCUGCCUCUGCCUCCCAAGUGCUGGGAUUAAAGGUGUGCGCCACCACGCCUGGCAAUUAUGCAUUUUCUAUAGAAGAGACACUUGGCAAGGUCUUCAGUAGAUGCCCUAAGCCCCCAGAACUACUAACUAAGCCUUCGUAUUUAAUGUCUUCCUGAAGCAUUGGCUGUCACUUUUGCUAUGUAAGAUGCAGCAGCAAAGCUAUCACAGACUUCUCUUCCAUCCCAAUUAUGAACAAAAGAUUGUCACACUACCUGUCCUCGCCACAGGACUCCUCAAAUCUUAACCUUUCUUAAUGGGAUCACUUCGUGGUUUUCCUUUGCCACAUCGGUUCUAGGACUGACACUUUGGGGUCAUUUUGUUGUUUUGAGACAGGCUUCUGCUAUGUAGCCCUAUCUACUCUUGGAUUUGCUGUGUAGAUCAGGCUGCUUCCAACUCAGAGAGAUCCACCUGCCUCUACCUCUCCACUGUAGGCAUUUAAAGUGUGCAUCAUCAUACCUGGCAGGGUCCAUUUUUAAAGUAAAACAAGGAUUACUUGAACAUAAGCAAUCGCCUGAGACAUCUGCUAACCAGGAUGGCUACCAAGAAACUGGUAGGCAGCUGUCGUGUGAAGAAGGCUGGAUGAAGAGUCAUCCUGAGCGGGAUUGUUACACUGCUCAAUUUGCAGUUUAAAACUUAGGAACCCUUUAGGGUUUGAAUUUUCCAUUUAAUAUUUUCAGACCCCAGUUGACUGAGGGUAACUGGAACUACAGAAAACAAAGCCAUAAAUAAAGGGAAGAAAGACUAAAGUAGAUGAGUACAGAUUGGCCAAGUGAAAGUACCUGUCUGAACUUCCAACAUUAGCUGCCUGAGGUGGGGCAGCCUGCCUCCGCUACAGUGAGUUCUGGAACAGCCAGGACUACAAAGGGAAACCCUGUUUC
rnacentral:lncRNA from 1 species